rnacentral:lncRNA from 1 species
CGCCCUUUAGCCAUCGCCUCCCUCACCCCGCCGCCCCGCCGGAGCCCCCAGCUCCCCCUGAUCUACCCUCGGUCUCCGCAGAGGUCCCCACGGACGACAGGCUUCCUGUAAGUUUUAUUGGCUUUCUGAACGAGCGCUCCGGCUCUGCCAGGCUGCCCGGGGGUCUCCCGGGUACAGGUGGAGAAGGUCCUCUCUGAGCCUGAGCCCCUCCCCGUGGCCUUGCACAGAGCAGCAGGUUUUCCUUCCAGAUCCCAGUGGACGUCGAGGGGAGCCGAGCCCCGCUGGACGUCUCCCCCAGGGACGCCUAACUAGUGCCAUCAACCCAACCUCAGAGUCACUCUAAGAGCUGCUUAAAUAUGGGCACUUUGUCAACAAAUGUUGGAGAGGGCGUGGAGAAAAGGGAACCCUCAGACACUGCUGGUGGGAAUGCAAACUGGUGCAGCCACUAUGGAAAACAGUAUGGACAUUCCUCAAAAAAUUAAAAACCGAAAUACCAUACGACGCAGCUAUCCCACUACUGGGUAUUUAUCCAAAGAGCUUGAAAUCAGUAAUACAAAGAGACUCAUGCAUCCCCAUGUUCACUGCAGCAUUAUUCACAACAGCCAAGACGUGGAAGCAACCCAAGUGCCCAUCCACUGAGGAGAUGUGGUAUAUACAUACAAUGGAAUACCACUUAGCCAUAAAAAGAGACAAAAUCGUCUCAUUUGCAACAACAUGGAUGGACCUUGAGGGUGUUAUGUUAAGCGAAAUAAGCUAGACAGAGAAAGAGAAACACCGUAUGAUUUCACUCAUCUGUGGAAGAUAAACACACAUGUGGACAAAGAGAACAGAUUAGUGGUUACCAGAGGGGAAGGGGGUUGGGGGGUGGGCACAGGGGUAAAGGGGCACAUUUAUAUGGUGACUGACAAAUAAUAAAGUACAACUGAAAUUUCACAAUGUUAUAAACUAUUAUGGCCUCAAUUUAUAAAAAAGAAAGAAACGGGUGGUUUGAGCUUACUCCAGCCCGGCCCCCGAGGACGGACUGAUCAUCACUGAAGAACUUCGCAGCAAGACCACAGACAGCUGCCACUGGAGCUAAAACAGGACCAACUAUGCCCAAGGGGUUACCUGCCCAGAGAAAGGUCAGUGUUAGUCAAGCGGAGCGGCCGCCUGGGGAGCGGGGAGUCUGAAGCUGGCGCGAGGCUCCGACGGGUCCGGCAGAGAACUCCUGCCUGCUGGGCACGGGACCGCUCAGCAUCAGGGCGUUCGGGCCCAGCACGAGGGGAUUUCCCAAGUAAAGGACUCUCGCCCCUUAGAUGUCAGUUCUUCUUCACUUUUUCUUCUUUACUUUUACUGCUGUUAAAGAAAACCUAUUACCCAACUUAAUAAACCUGUCUUGUUAUAGAUACAAGUCACAAUUUUGUGGGUAGUGACCAUGAUUCUGAACAUCAAGGGCACUGUGGUUAAGUCACGGACCUGAGUUAGGGCGCCUGUGAGGUCCAACAUGGUGGCUAAGACCCUCCCUUGUAAGGGGAGGAGGCUUCCCAGAUAAUCUCCGAAACCCUCCCAGGAUUAAGACUCCCCUGAAAAAAACAGCCCGCCCCAUACUUCAACUGGGCAGGCGUGGAAACACUCCUGGCUGCCCUCCUUUUCCAGACUUCUCCUCCUGCAGCAGAGUCUGGGAUGGGAGGGGCCAGGCGACACACCCUGGGCUCAGAGCCCCGUUCAUUCUUAAAAAUCCAGUAAGAGGAGCAAACAGCCAAAGUAAGCAGAAGAAAGGACGCAAAAAACAGGAGAGGAAGCCCUGGAAGUGUGAGACCCGAUCCAGCAGGUGCACCACCGACUCGCAGAGGAGACACUUCUGGUCUCAGCUCCCACAUGUAAAGGGCUAGGAGGCUGUCACCCCAUCCUCAGAACAAGAAAACUCCACAAACAGAAACAACGACUUUUCUCAGACCCAUCAGAGAACCGAGGUCGCAGGGCAAACUGCCACCCCAAAACCUGGAAAUCAAGGAAUUUAGAAAGUUGCGGUCCAGUCUGCUCACCAGGAGCAGAAGCCGCUGAGCCGAAACCGGCAGGCACACUGAUGGGAACCGUGAGGAAGUGCUGCAGGCUGAGUGUGCAAUCAUGAGAGAGAAACUCCUGGGGCCACGGUCUGGGGGGCCCACACUCUCAAGGGCUUUCCCUCCAGGAACCCCACCAGGUGCUCUGAGAAGACCCCCUAGCGUCCCUGGCAGACGGAGGGGGAAAGAAAUGCUGGUGAAACACACCAGGGCCUUCUCCGUCCUUGCCUUCCCUUCCAAGUGACCCGGCGAGGGCCCUGCCGUCCCCAUGCUCUGGGUGCUGCCGGCCGCCUCCUCCACCUGCCACUCCACAGGCCCUGCCCCCUCGGCCAGCCCUUGGGGCUGCCGUGUUCUUCAUCAGGAUCCCAGAAGGUCUGAUCGUCCCCUGUGUGGGGGUCAGCAGCUGCCAUUCCCUACACUCAUGAGUUCCCAGGGAGUUGCAGAAUGGUGAUAUUCUGCUCCUGACAUUCCGUUUUAUUAGUCGGAACACUUUAAUAAAAAAGACUCUCUCGUGUGCGAUUCGGCUCCCCUGUGGCACAGCGCCCAUGGAAAAGGCAGGGAAGAUGCUGAAUCCUUCCUCUUCACUGGCCUGUCUUCCAGGUAAGGAACUGACUCCUGUUCUCCUCCACAGGCGGCCAGCUGGGGUUCCCGACAGCGAACUCAUAGAUUAAAACCUACUUAUGAGUUUCGAUCCAUCGCGAUAAGUGUCUUUAUCCCAGCGCAGGUUCUGCCACCUCUGCCAUACGUGGAGCUCCGCAAGUUCGACUCACUAACUCCUUUCAGGAGUGGCCGGCAGGACAGCAUCCGCAGCCCGUCUCUCCAGGGAAGGAGGAUGGUGCUGUGAGCUCCCUCGAGGCAGAGGACCAAGACGAAGGCUGCGGGUUGGAGCAGCGAGGCGGGCUCCUGUGCGGGAGAGCCGAUGCAGAACCAGAGCGGCGUGGCACGCGGUAAACUUGCUCCCCGGGUCGAGGCCUCAGGACGACGUUAUUCCAUCCAUUCGAGACCUUUGAUGAAGCCCCGACACCAGCAGUAAGAAAACUAGAGGUACUGGCAGGGUCGAAGAGUGUAACACAUUUACUAAAUUUGUACCAUUUUUACCAAGACACGACAUGACUCCUGGGUCUGGGGAAGGCCAUUCUCUCUCUGCCGUCGGCCUGUCCUCAGAGCCCAGGGUCUCUCGACCCCCUAGGGACGGGCCGCCCGAGAAGCAGCUCUGUCCUCUCAUCUGCACCUCCAGCCGAGGGACGGAGUCUUUGCUUGGACGUUUCUCGAGAAGUGACCGCCUCCUCCACCUAGUUUCUCAGCUCUGGGUUCUUCGAGAGAAUGUUCACUAAGCACCUCCCCUUUUUCAGUCACAGACUUUCCCCUCUUGGUUCCCGCUCUUCCACAGCUCUAAAGGCUCGGGACGGGAGUCUUCAGACGACACUUGGAGUGACUUCCUCUGCAGCCCGCAUCUCAAGAUGGGCUGUGGGUGUCCUGGGAAGACCAAGCAGACUCACAACAGAGAGGCCUCUGCUUUCUCUAGGUGUUAAGUGCGAAGCGCAGCUUUGUUCUUUCCCAGCAGUUCAGCAAAGAUACCAGGGAAGAUUCACAGAGCAGGACCCCCUGUAAGACUCACUCUCUCUCGGCUUCGCCUCUACAGGCUGAGGCUCUGGGGGGCAGCGCUGCUUCUCCAGGAGGCCCAGGGUACCAGGCGGCUGCGAGAGCAGGGCCCGCGCCCGGAGGAGCUCCUCAUCUGCCACAGACGCACGGGCAGCAGCCCUGCGGCCCUGAAGACCUCAGACUGUGCCAGCAUGCUCUGCUCCAGACUCGCACACAGGAGCAGCUUCUCAGCCAGAGUCUGAAUGGCGUUCCCGUCCCUUUGUAUCCUCGACAACAGAGACUGCAGAUAAUAACAGCGGCUUGGGAUCCAACAGGGCCUGCCGGCUGCUGCCUCCUCCCCCUCUGCCCAGACCACCUGCUUCCCAGCCAGCCUUCCGCGGUAGAACUCAUCUCCUGGGAUGUCUUCCCCUGAUGCGCAGCCCGACUGCACACACGGAAGUGUCUCCUGUGGUGUGUGCCUUGAGGCUGGGGCCGACGCUAGGCAUCCUGAGGCUCUCUCGAGGUGCGCGAACUACACGGAGUGAAACGCAAGGUCACCUCUGCCCAAGCCAUUAACUCCCCCAAGCAGCUAGUCACUGAGCUAGUUACCUGUAUACGCUGGUCCUGUGUGGCCAGGUUGAAGCUUCUCUCUCUGGCUUCCACUCUGAGAAAGGAACUGCGUCUAGGUUCCACACCUGUCUUACUGGUCAACCUCCGCCUGCCGUCAGCAGUGAGGCUGUGCAACCCCUCUGCCGCUGCUACCGGAGACCACGGUUUCAGAAGUGGGUGUAAAGUUCAGUUGCUCUUUAUGAGGGGGCGCGUCCUGCUUCGUCGACAGAGCAGAAGGUCCCAGCUGGGCAGUCGUUUCACCGGAGUGUGCCCACCUUUGUGCCCUGCCAGCUCUCGCCGUGCACAGGCCACCUCCACAGGGGCCUGCCGGGAGCAGCUCCCCUUGUCCUUCCCUCCAUCCUGGACGUCGGGGGAGAGGGGUCAGGCGCGUGGACGACCACACUGUACCACCCACGUCUAAGAACGAGCACGCUCGCCCCUCACACUCAGGGGAGUGAAACGCUGUCGGUCGAAAACUAAAACAGUAAGUGACAAGGUAGACUCCUGGGGAAAAGCUGUGUCUGACUUUCUGAUUCAAGGGAGAGAAAAAAACCCGCUGCCCCCGGCUCUGUGCCCACCCGGUUCAUUCCUCCCCCUGGGUUCUGCUGCCUCUGUGCUUGGCCCUGAGAACCCACCUGGGGAGGGACGGUCUCCUGCUGGACCCACCACCAGCAAGGAAGACGGGUCCCAUGGGUGGGCACGCACGGCAGAGGCAGCCCACCCUAGGACGGACUUAAGCCCACACCAACGCCUCCCACAUCUCCCCCCACUUCCGAGGGGCCCAGUGGAUCCCAUCUUGGUCCGCAGACCUCUGGCCUCUUCUGCGUCUACAAGUUCAGGACGUGGCUGAGAGGAAAGCAGGCAGACAUUUUUCCUAGUCAUGUAACAGAGAGAACUAUUCCCGAGAGAGAACACGGAAAGUGUUGUCAUGGGGGAUAUUUUUGAAGUUUGCUUUAGUUUAAAAUUAGAUGGCGCCUUCUGGAAUCAAGAGCAAUAGUUUCACGCUCCCCCGUGGUCAUCUUUCAACUCCUUUCCAUCUUGGAUGGUCCAAGCAUCUCUAUUUCUCUCCAACGGCACCACACUGAUGUCCACACAAGGAACCAGGACCCUUUAUCGAGCUCUGAGGACACUCGAGACCAUCCCACACCUCAGACGGAGAGUGAGUGAUUCAGGAUACAAGCAGAUCUCUGUGCAGAAAUAGAAAAUUUCCGUACUGCUGUUCCAAAACUCGGCGAACGUGCAGUAGAUGCUCUCUCCUUUCUGCCAAAGGGAAAUCGAAAUAGAAUCGUUUCUACGGAUUUGGAGAACUUUUCUGAGACUCGAGUGUGAACUUUCUCAUCUUCACUCGGCGCCACAUUCAUUCACCGAGAGCGCAAAGCUUCCUCGUGACGAGCUUCGCCAGAAUUUGUUUCUUUCAUCGCAUUUGCCAUCAUUUUAAUCCUGAUGGCUAAAAUUCUAUUUCAGACUUUUAUAUCUAAGUCUUAUAAUCUUACGAAUUCUUGACAUAUUUUCAGCAGCCUCUUCCACUGAAUGUAGUUUGGAUAAAAUUUCCGAGAAAGAUUUAACUAGUUGAUGAACUCUUCGCCUGAAAUAUGGAGAGAGCGAGCUGCCGGCAGGGUUUCUGAGGUAUAAGAUCCAAGUCGUCACUUCCAAAGGACUAGAGUCCUAGACAGUGUGUGGUGGACACAGGGCGGCCGCCCAGACUCCGUUCAGGCAGAGGCGCCAGGAGUGCAGCCUGCACCAGCCACAGCUAAGACCCCUGGAGGCCGUGUCCCAGCCCAGAGGACAUGCCUGGACUGAGGUCCCUCCUUCCCCAGAGCAGCCCAUGUCCAGUGGCCCCCGUGCAGGGGGUGUAGAGGCCCGGCCACCUGCCCCAACUGGGACCAUCUGAGGGGUCAUCUCAGCUGAGGCCACCAUUGUAUCCACGUCACAGCCAGCUCCCCAUCCGCCCAGUCGCACAUCCCAAGGGUGCUCCUCGCUAACCUCCUGCACACACUUCUUCUCAAGUCUGUGCAGGACUGACCUGAGGUGAGGCUCCUGUCCCCGAGCUCAGCAGGGCCUAAGAUGCCCCGUCUCUGCUGGCCUUUUGUCGCUCUUGCCUUUUCUCCAUAUGUUUGUCCCACCUUGGAAGGGGGGCCCCACCAUCCCAGCCCUGAGCCCCCAGUCCCGGUCACCUCUGGGUGCCACCCCCAGGUACCACUGGGCUCUCCAAGGACAGGAGCAAACUUCCCAAAAUUGCUUAAUAAGAAUAAGGGCCUUUGUCUAAUUGCUUUUCUGCAAAGAAUCAGAGAAAAUUAUUUUUCCCUUAAAUCUUGCACUGGAAAAUAUCCCACUCUUUUUUGAAUAAAUCUGAGGCAACGUGUCCUCAUUUUCCAUUCAUGACGCACACUGGGCCCUCCUCAAUAAUUUCACCUCAAGAGGCUUCUUUUGCGCUCCAGUUUAGAAUGCCACCUUAUAAACAGACUACCUUAAAGUCAAGCUGUGCCCUGAAAUGCUAAGUGACAAAGUGGGUAAAGUCCGUGCCAGGAGAAUUCUGAGAACCUGACACUCAAGAAACAAAACUGAAUAAGGCCGUGAAAGGUCAUUUAAAAACUGUUUUGAAAAAAACAGAAUUCGCAAACAUUGAAUCGAGUCGGCAGUGACCUGGGCCUGGCCCUGGGGAGGGUAUGGACACGACUGCAUUUGCAUACGUGAACGUUCAGACAUUUCCAUUAUAUAGUUCAGGAGUUAAUUUUUUUAUAUAUGAAAGCAAGGCUCAUGAUUUAAAAACUGAAAGAGUAUAAAGAAGCCAGCAGGAACGACGAGGAUCUCCUUGCUGGCCCCCCACCCCAGGCCCCUCCCCAGAGGGAAUCGCGCAGCUAACGGCUGCUCGAAGGUCCAGGAGGGAAAAACAAACCUGCACAUCCGCUCUGCCCGCAGCGGGUUAUCUGCCACGCCCGCCACCCGCGUGUGAAAACACAUGAGGAUAAGGCUUCACACUGACCUGCUCCCGUGGACACACGGACCCACCUCAUCCUUUCCAAAGAGGCUUUGCAGGACGGCACCCCAUCAUUUGUUUCACUGUCCCCUCCGGUUGGCCGUUUAGGGCUUUUUGCUUUGCUGAGUGAAGGACAGGCCUUGCAGAGAGGCACCUGUACAAACAGCGUGAGCACAACCUCAGGACAGAUUCCUCAAAGCGGGGUCAGCGCACUUUUCAUCUCACAGACAUGCCAGCGAGGCCGCGCUGUCCUCCCGCCCAUCACACUUCCUCUGUGUGGGGGGACAUCGUGCCUUCCUUCAUCUGAGUUCCUUUAAUUAGGAGGGUGUCACUAACUCUUUAGACACAAAUCCAGGGCCUUCUGGCUUCCCUCACUAACACCCCCGGGCCCUAGCCGGCUGUCUAGAGAUCUCUCUCCUUGAUAUGGAGAGGAACAGCGAGGUGGGCCCUCCGCUCCCUCUACAGAAGGGCACACGGAGGGCCGGAGGGGAGCAGUGACCGGCACAGGGCCCCAGAGCCAGAUCGGAGGCCCUCGUGUCCACGACCCAGCCCAUUGCUCUUGUCCCUGACCCCACUGCUGGCCGCCUGGGGGACAGCAGAGCUACUGACUGGUGUUCUAGAAGCAUCAGCCCGGGGCUGAGCAUAGAGAUGCUGGGGGUCCCUGCUCCCUCGGGGGGAGAGCGGGGGUCCCCACUUCCAGAUGGCAGAUGCGUCUAUUGCAAGAACAGUGGGAAGGUGACCUGCAAGCUGAUGCCAGGAGGCCCCGAACCCACACAGUGAGGAGCCUGAUUAGAGGGAAACUGAGUCUCCGACGCACCUCGCACAGGAGCAUAACAGACGCCUUUUCUUGUUCCUCCGACGAAGACCUCAGAGGGCACAGGAGGUGAGGCCCCUUAAAGUUAAAAAAAUGUAAAUCUAUACAUACAUAUAUAAACAUAUACACACAGAUAUACAUAUGAAGGUCAGUGGCUUCAAAAAGGAGAGAAGAAAGCGCUCUCCUUCGAGAAACUGUUGAUUACCCUUCACACACUCUGGCAUUAAUUCCACAGAGAGCAUUGACUCGUGCCCCUUCAUGUCUGAAACUGUUCUCUCAUUUUGAAAUUUAGCCCUUGGACUGGUGAACACUUAUGAAAUCACAGCUGGUGAAAGCCACCCUUUGGGGCCCUACCCCAAAGCCAGAGACUAUAAAAGAAAACUCGAUAGAUUGGCUACAUGCCCAUGUAAAACUUGUGCAUCGCAAACAGAAAGCUAAAGCCAAAGUUAAAAGAAAAAUGACAAACUGAAAAACAAAUGUGAUCUGCACGAGUCUAUGGUAGCGGUAGGCUGAAAUCCUUAAUAUAAAAAGCUCUAGAGUAAGAAAAGACAUACAGCUAACAGAAAACAAAAUAUGGGCAAAGAACAGGUACAGGCAAUUGUCCAAAUGACCAACAAUAAAACGAAAAGAUGUCCAACACGCCCAGCCGUCAAAGAAAUGAAAAGCACUGUGCUGCCAGCCUCGUCUCACCCAGGAGACGGCCAGAGACACAAUGGAACGACACGACCCAGGGCUGGCAGCAGGGCACGGGGACCUGCUCCCCCGCCAGGUGGGCGGAUGGCACUCUCUGCGGCGUUUCUGGAGGGCAUUUUGGCAAAACGCAUGCGAGCCUUUGGCCUCUUGGCGUGUCUUCUAGGAAUUUACCCUGAGGAAACACUCAGACAGCUUCCAAAGACAUAUCAUCAAAGAUGUUCGUCACCGUACUAUUUAAAAACUGCCAAGAAACAUGCCAAAAUAUUUAUAGUCGCUAUCUCUGGGUGCUUACGUUAUUCAUUAGAUCCGCUUUUCCCAAACUUUUAGCUGGGAAUGAGUAUUCCUCUUAUAAUGAAGAAACACUGCCUACUCAAACAAUUCACUGAAGCAUUAAAACAAUGUUUUCACGGGUUUCUUGACACUUGGUCCCCAAAUUCCCCAGACCGGUGAGACUAGAAAUAUCGCCCUUCUCAUUCCCUGCAGGAAAAAGUCUGUGGUUUUUGAUCCUAUCAAACCUCUGGCACAUUCUAGGCAGGAAACAAAGCCCCAGUUCAGCCCCGCAUACAUCUGGUUCAGGCCCAGCAGGCCAGCAGGGACAGACAGAGGCAUGUGUGUCUUGCUUGUGGUCUGCCCCUUCCCCUCGUCGGGCUCCAUCCCCACAGGCACCAGCAUCUCAAACAGCACGUGGACACCACGGGCUCCGGGCAGGUGAAGAUCUCAGGACUAUUUGAAAAAACUGGGAAGAUGUUUCAGGCCACUCAGUCAGGGCAGAGGCCAGAAGCAGAAGCUAGCUUACACCCACGGUGGGUUCCUGGAAGACAAUAUUCUCCAUCCUUCCCAAACCAGGCCAGACGUCUAGGAAAGGGGGGCCCAGUCCACCUAACAUCUGUCUCCUCCUGUCAGACCCGGGCGUGCAAAUAGAGCCGGUCCCCUGAUUCCCCCCAGCCUCCACUCCAUCCUCCCCAGAACCCGGGAGGCUGGGCCCAGAGCAGGCACACUCUCAGGUGCUCAGGGAUUACUUCCUGAGUGACUGAGAUGCCAUCCCAGGUCCCUGAUACUCUGAAGCUCUGGGCUUCUAUUAAACACAGGCCUGAGCCCUGCCUGCCUUGCUCCCCUGCGGCCGACCCUGGGCAGGGAAUUUACCCAUUCUCAGCCUCAGGUUCCUUAUCUCUAAGUCCGGGGUGAGGCAGUCAGCACAGACACGUAGAAGCAUUUGGCAAAUCCAAAGGCAAAGGCAGCUGGAGGCCUGGGCAGCUUUCCUGGAGAAAGAGCAGGCCCUGUAGCAAGCAGCUCGGGGGACCUACGGGAUGGGGGUGGGGGGCAGAGGGGACCAGCUGCUUCCAGGGCUGGGAAGCCAGGCUCAACCUUGAGCUCCAUGCAGACUUAAGACAACGAACUUCAGCCCGGCUAGCCCGGAGGAGAGGAGCUGUGGGCACGGUGCCGGGCACACAGUGGACACUGGACACGCAGGAGCUUCUAGUAACACGGCAGCUUCGAAUCACAGCAACAAGAGAAUCCCGAAGGAGGCCAUCAGAGGCUUUCCUACAGCCCACACCCUCUCGGCUCCGAACUUCCCACCGCUGCGAUCCUCCAGGCAGGGCGGGCGGCUGCCCGACUUCCAACACUUACUCAGCGCGCCCCUCUGCGAGGGGCGCAGAUCCAGCCCCGGGCACGGGGCGGUCAACAGGACCCCAGGGUCCCCGCCUCCUGCAGGGGGUGGGGUGGGAGUCAGGCAUCACGCCAACAAGUAAUUCAUCGACUGCAGCAGGAGCAUUUCUGGGGUCCCCGUGCGAGUCUGGGGAGGGGCGGCGCGUCCCCGGAGGCUGGCGCCGCCCCCGGGCGGAGGGCGGGCCGCGGGUCGCGGGUCGCGGGGGAGGCGCCCGGCGCCCGCGGCUCCUCCGCAGCGCGGCCGGCAGGUGGGCGCGCGCUCGCCGGGCGGGGGUCCGGCCGGGCCGCGCGCCUCCCCCGGAACUCGGCCGUGCCAUUCCCAUGAUGCCCAGCCACCGGGCACGGCUUCCGGAGCGCGGCCGCCGCCUCCC